rnacentral:ncRNA from 1 species
UGGGCUGUUCGCCCAUUAAAGUGGCACGCGAGCUGGGUUCAGAACGUCGCGAGACAGUUCGGUCCCUAUCUGUUGUGGGCGUUGGAAGUUUGAGUGGAUCUGACCUUAGUACGAGAGGACCGGGUUGGACAGACCUCUGGUGAACCUGUUAUGCCGCCAGGUGUACGGCAGGGUAGCUACGUCUGGAAUAGAUAAGCGCUGAAAGCAUCUAAGUGCGAAACUAGCCACGAGAUGAGACUUCCUUAUAGGGUCGUAGAAGAUGACUACGUUGAUAGGCCAUAGGUGUAAAGGUUGAGAGACCAAAGCCAAGUGGUACUAAUAGCCCGAAGCUUUCUCAAG